CCGGCCAUCUGGUGUUUCGUUGAAAGAAUAAAUAAAUAAUUAAUGCGAGAAUUUUCUUGCAUUGCAAUUUAGGAUAUUCUGUGUUUUAGUGGUUAAUGUCUAGACUGGACGAUUAACCAGUCUCCACAUAAGUAUUUGCUUGUGUGUAUGUUAAGUCUAGCUCUAUACGAGCUAAGUAUGUGCUUGUGUAUGUUGUGCAAUAAACCUUGAAUGCUUGCAGUGCAAACACCUCCCCAGGCGGGCCGGCCAUCUGGUGUUUCGUUGAAAGAAUAAAUAAAUAAUUAAUGCGAGAAUUUUCUUGCAUUGCAAUUUAGGAUAUUCUGUGUUUUAGUGGUUAAUGUCUAGACUGGACGAUUAACCAGUCUCCACAUAAGUAUUUGCUUGUGUGUAUGUUAAGUCUAGCUCUAUACGAGCUAAGUAUGUGCUUGUGUAUGUUGUGCAAUAAACCUUGAAUGCUUGCAGUGCAAACACCUCCCCAG
rnacentral:misc_RNA from 1 species